CUUGAUGGAACCGAGGAGCAGUGGCCGGUCGGCGGGUCGGUCCUGGCCGUAGGUGGCCAGCAGGGCCUGGGCCUC
rnacentral:antisense_RNA from 1 species